rfam:TPA: Bos taurus chromosome 18, whole genome shotgun sequence.
UCCCCAGUGGUCCAGUGGUUAAGACUCUGUGCUCCCAAUACAGAACACCCAGGUUUGAUCCCUGGUUGAGGAU